rnacentral:tRNA from 1 species
UGUCCCAUGGCUUAGUUGGUUACGGCGUCCGACUGUUAGCGAUAUGCGCGAUCGGAAGAUCGAGAGUUCGAGUCUCUCUGGGACAG